UACGUAGGGUCCGAGCGUUGUCCGGAAUUACUGGGCGUAAAGAGCUCGUAGGUGGUUUGUCGCGUUGUCCGUGAAAACUCACAGCUCAACUGUGGGCGUGCGGGCGAUACGGGCAGACUGGAGUACUGCAGGGGAGACUGGAAUUCCUGGUGUAGCGGUGGAAUGCGCAGAUAUCAGGAGGAACACCGGUGGCGAAGGCGGUAGUCUGGGCCGGUACUGACGCUGAGGAGCGAAAGCGUGGGGAGCGAACGGG
rnacentral:rRNA from 1 species